GAUGAACGCUGACAGAAUGCUUAACACAUGCAAGUCCACUUGAAUUUGGGUUUUUACCUUAGGUUUGGGUGGCGGACGGGUGAGUAACGCGUAAAGAACUUGCCUCACAGCUAGGGACAACAUUUGGAAACGAAUGCUAAUACCUAAUAUUAUGAUAAUAGGGCAUCCUAUAAUUAUGAAAGCUAUAAGCGCUGUGAGAGAGCUUUGCGUCCCAUUAGCUAGUUGGAGAGGUAACGGCUCACCAAGGCGAUGAUGGGUAGCCGGCCUGAGAGGGUGAUCGGCCACAAGGGGACUGAGACACGGCCCUUACUCCUACGGGAGGCAGCAGUGGGGAAUAUUGGACAAUGGACCAAGAGUCUGAUCCAGCAAUUCUGUGUGCACGAUGAAGUUUUUCGGAAUGUAAAGUGCUUUCAGUUGGGAAGAAAGAAAUGACGGUACCAACAGAAGAAGUGACGGCUAAAUACGUG
rnacentral:rRNA from 1 species